rnacentral:piRNA from 1 species
UGGUACUAGGUAGGAUUUGCCAGCACAGC